rnacentral:rRNA from 1 species
GACGAACGCUGGCGGCGUGCUUAACACAUGCAAGUCGAACGGAAAGGCCCUGCUUUUGUGGGGUGCUCGAGUGGCGAACGGGUGAGUAACACGUGAGUAACCUGCCCUUGACUUUGGGAUAACUUCAGGAAACUGGGGCUAAUACCGGAUAGGAGCUCCUGCUGCAUGGUGGGGGCUGGAAAGUUUCGGCGGUUGGGGAUGGACUCGCGGCUUAUCAGCUUGUUGGUGGGGUAGUGGCUUACCAAGGCUUUGACGGGUAGCCGGCCUGAGAGGGUGACCGGCCACAUUUGGACUGAGUUACGGCCCAGACUCCUAUAGUAGGCAGCAGUGGGGAAUAUUGCACUAUGGGCGGAAGCCUGAUGCUGCAACGCCGCGUGCGGGAUGCCGGCCUUCGGGUUGUAAACCGCUUUCGCCUGUGACGAAGCGUGAGUGACGGUGAUGGGUAUAGAAGCACCGGCUAACUACGUG